AUUGAACGCUGGCGGCAUGCCUUACACAUGCAAGUCGAACGGCAGCACGGGACCUUGCUCCUGGUGGCGAGUGGCGAACGGGUGAGUAAUACAUCGGAACGUACCCUGAAGUGGGGGGAUAACGUAGCGAAAGUUACGCUAAUACCGCAUAUUCUGUGAGCAGGAAAAAGGGGGAUCGCAAGACCUCUUGCUUUAGGAGCGGCCGAUGUCGGAUUAGCUAGUUGGUGAGGUAAAGGCUCACCAAGGCGACGAUCCGUAGCGGGUCUGAGAGGAUGAUCCGCCACACUGGGACUGAGACACGGCCCAGACUCCUACGGGAGGCAGCAGUGGGGAAUUUUGGACAAUGGGCGCAAGCCUGAUCCAGCCAUGCCGCGUGAGUGAAGAAGGCCUCGG
rnacentral:rRNA from 1 species